rnacentral:lncRNA from 1 species
GGCAUUGUCAUUUUUGUACACAGUGUGUAUCUUUGUUGGCUUUAUUUUUUCUUUUCUUUCUUCUUUCUGUUUUUGUUUUUCAUUUGUUUGCUUGCUUUUGUAUUUUUAAGACAAGGUUACUCUUUGUAGCCUUGACUAUUUGUAACUCAGUCUGUAGACCAGGCUGACCUUAAACUCACAGAGAUUCACCUGUCUCUGUCUCCUGAGUGCUGGGAUUAAUCUUUGUUUGCUUUCUGUUACUUUGACAAACAGCAUACUCAAAUGUAAAAAGGAGAGGAAAUAUUUAGCUUAUAUAUCUUCCAGGAACGACAAGGCAGGAACUCAAGAAGAACAGAAACCUGGAGGCAGGAACUGACACAGAUACCAAGGAGGAGAACGGUUUACUGGCUUACUACCUACGUUGGAUAGAUAACUACUUACUGUAGGAGAUAGGUGUGGUUAUAGAUCCUGACAAAACAUAUAUAUCAAUAAACUAGAAGGCAAUCUACCAAAGCCGAUCCUGGUCAGGCAGGGACAAGAGUAUGAAUCUUGGAUUCAUAUAUACAAUGGAUAUGGAUCAACUGAGGAUAUCUGGGAUACAUUUUCAUCAUUUUUUAAGCAAACAUGGAAGAAACAGGAGGACUGCAUGUAAAGUUAAAUGAACAACACAUAAAGACAGUUGCCAUGCUAUCUGACUCAUGUGUGCUCUAAAUAUGAUCUUACAGAAGGAGUAGGUAAAGUAUGUAAGAAGAAUGAUACAAG